GAUGAACGCUGGCGGCGUGCCUAAUACAUGCAAGUCGAGCGAAUGGAUUAAGAGCUUGCUCUUAUGAAGUUAGCGGCGGACGGGUGAGUAACGCGUGGGUAACCUGCCCAUAAGACUGGGAUAACUCCGGGAAACCGGGGCUAAUACCGGAUAACAUUUUGAACCGCAUGGUUCGAAAUUGAAAGGCGGCUUCGGCUGUCACUUAUGGAUGGACCCGCGUCGCAUUAGCUAGUUGGUGAGGUAACGGCUCACCAAGGCAACGAUGCGUAGCCGACAUGGGAGGGGGAUCGGCCACACUGGGACUGAGACACGGCCCAGACUCCUACGGGAGGCAGCAGUAGGGAAUCUUCCGCAAUGGACGAAAGUCUGACGGAGCAACGCCGCGUGAGUGAUGAAGGCUUUCGGGUCGUAAAACUCUGUUGUUAGGGAAGAACAAGUGCUAGUUGAAUAAGCUGGCACCUUGACGGUACCUAACCAGAAAGCCACGGCUAACUACGUGCCAGCCGCCGCAGUAA
rnacentral:rRNA from 1 species